UGGGGGAUAUUGCACAAUGGGCGAAAGCCUGAUGCAGCGACGCCGCGUGGGGGAUGAAGGCCUUCGGGUUGUAAACUUCUUUUGCUCUGAACAAGGCGCACCAUGGGGUUUGUUGAGUGUAGGGGUUGAUUAGCGCCGGCUAACUACGUGCCAGCAGCCGCGGUAAUACGUAGGGCGGGAGCGUUGUCCGGAAUUAUUGGGCGUAAAGGGCUUGUAGGUGGCUGGUUGCGUCUGUCGUGAAAGCUCAUGGCUUAACUGUGGGUUUGCGGUUGGGACGGGCUGGCUUGAGUGCAGUAGGGGGGGCUGGAAUUCCUGGUGUAGCGGUGGAAUGCGCAGAUAUCAGGAGGAAUACCUGUGGCGAAGGCGGGUCUCUGGGCUGUUACUGACACUGAGGAGCGAAAGCAUGGGGAGCGAACAGG
rnacentral:rRNA from 1 species